UGACUGCCUGUCCAAUACUCCUCAUUUGAC
rnacentral:piRNA from 1 species